GGAGCGCCGGUCUCUAGGCCUCCUGUGAAAUGGGUGGAGCCUUACUGAUUUACUCUCCCCUUCGGAAUCCUAUCCACUGUAAAAAGAGGCCCGCAACUCCUCCUCUAAGUGUUGGGGCAGAGGUUGGGGUAGGAACCCGGUCAUAGGGCAAGGACGUGAGGCAGGGUGGAAAAAAGUACAGGGUAGAAUGAUUUCCAGUGGUUUGGCGAAUGCAUCGUGUGUAAAUAGCUUUCUGGAAACCUGUUGGGAGGGUCAGAAGUGCCAGCCCCAGCUCGAUUUCAUGAGUCGUAAUUCUUUCUAUUUCUCCCUAAAUGUGAGGGCAUUUGAGUUCCGUAAAGGAGUCGACUCCAAAUGUUUCCUGCUGCACCACACACUUGACUACCAUUGGUGACGGUGACUUAGCUAUGACUUGCUGAGUGUAGCGUUUCUAAACCUUACUAAACUCUGGGUUUUAUUUUUCCCCUUUUUAUGCUUACAAAACUGAAAUUCAAAGAAUAAAAUGCCUUGUCUCAUUGCCACACAGCUAAGUCCAUGCGGGAGGCCAAUUCAGGUGGUCUGGCUCCAAAACCAGGGCUCUUCCCAUGAUUUGCCCGCUGUGACACCAGGUUGGCAACUAGGAAAUGUACAAGCAGGACUUGACAAAUGUAGGAGCAAAUAUAUGGUAAGGAUAAGUAUGAACACCAUCAAAAUUAGCCAGUUACUCAUGUAAUAGAAAUAAAGUGAGGAGAUCAACAAACAAGGACUGACAUGGCUGGAAAAGUUUCACGGGGGAUAGCAAGGUCAACCAAGGGGAUUUGAUUAUUAAGUAGGAAUCUUCAGUCUUUCUUGCUUUUCGGUUUAGUAUCUCCCUUAAUUUGAUGAGAGUGAUUGUCUCCUCUGUUCAAGAAACCUGUCAUUUUGGUAAAGUGGCAAAAAACUUGGCUUUACAAGGUGUGUGCUCUUGGGAAAGUUAGUUAAUGUCCGUGGGCAUCAAUUUCCUUACUGUAAAAUAAACAUAUCACCUACUUUGGAAUAUUUUUGCAAGAUUUAAUGGGGUUUUGUAUGUCAGAAAUUCUCAGUCAUGGAUACACAGUAGAAUCCUACUGUGACCCAUGCUCACAGUAGAAUUACUUGAGGUGGUUUCUAAAUGACCCAGUCCAAACAAAUUCAAUCAUAAUCAGCUGUUAGAAGUAAAUCAUCUAGCCUGGUGCCUGAAACAUAGAGGCCUUCAAAAAUAUUAGCUCCCCUUCCCCAAUUCCAAAACCAGAGCAUAUCAUUCACCUGUGAAUUAUAUUCUUUUGGUAGUUAAUUGGUAUGUCUUGAUCAAGCAGGGAGGCGAACAGACCCAUAAGAGUGCAGACUCUCACAAACCAAGUGUUGAUAUACAUGCUCAUAUAGUACAUGCUAUGUAGAUACAGUGUGUUGAUGUAGUCACUAUAGAUGAGUUUCGGUGGCAAAUAUUAUGUGAAAACGGAACCCUGGACUGCUAGUAAUGAGUUCUAAUAUUUGCACAGGAGUUUACAGAGCAGUGUAAUCUUGUGAAUUAAAUAAUAUAAUCAAGCCCAUUUUAUAGACGAGAGAAUUGAGGAUUGGAUGGUGAAUGUAAUCAAGGUUAUCUAACUCCACAAAAUGAAAAUAUAGCAUAGAUUCACUGAGCCUUCAAAAUACCUACCUUAGAGUUGUAUGGUUUAGAUAGAGAAUAUACAGCUCCUACCACAGUGCUAAUAAGUAAGUCAUCAAUAAAUGAUAACUUGUAAAGUCACGGGCCCAAAUUCAGAUCUCAUGCCCUUUCUAUAUUCUUCAGUAUCUUUGGAAAUAUGAUGGAGCUUUUCAUUUAAGAGGAAUUGAUCUAUACUUCUCUCACCCCAGAAGUUGUAACAAUUAGCUUUAACUGCAUAACACACCAGUCUAAAUCUGAGUGGCUUAAGACAACCCCCAUUCAUGAUUAUAGUUCAUGAUUCUAUGAGUUAACUGGCAGUUCUGCUGUUCUGGACAGGGUUACUGUGGCCCCUUAUACAGACCUAACAUGAUCCCCAUGUUCCUUGCCUCCUGAUAAUCAUGCCUUUAUGCAAUCCCCUUGUAUUACAGAUUGAGUAUCCCUUAUCCGAAAUGUUUGGUACCAGAAAUGUUUCAGAUUUUAGAUUGUUCCGGAUUUUGGAAUGUUUGCAUUACAAUGGUUGUGCAUCCCAAAUCCAAAAAUCCCAAAUUCAGAAUGUUCCAAUGAGCACUUCCUUUGAGUGUCAUGUUGGCACUCAAAAAGUUUUGGAUUUUGGAGCAUUUUGGGUUUGGGAUUUUUGGAUUUGGGAUACUCAACCCGUACUUUUCUACUGCUGUAUGACAAAUUACCACAAACUCAACAGCUGAAAACAACACCCAUUUAUGAUGUCACAAUUCUAUAGAUAAGAAGUCCCAAUUCUAUAGAUCAAAAGGUUUGGCCAGGUUCAAUCCUGGUAAUCACGGAUAUAUAACAGCUUAUAAACAUCAAGGAGAAAGUAUUUUGACCUUCAUUAAAUUCUUUUUAAGGCAAGCAUACCUGUUUAAACUGAUUUGUCUAUAGCCAGUUGGUUUAAUUUCAUUGAAUUCUUCCCAGAGCCUCAAGAUAAGAACCCACCCAAGCUUGGUGCGUUCUUAUCUGGAGCCUCUGGGAAGAACACCUUGAUUUGAAGUCAAGAGCCAAGCUGGCUUCUUAUCUGGAGGCUCUGGGAAGAAUUUCUUUCAAGUGUUAAAGAUAAAUAAAAAUAGAGGCUCCAGUUUAGAUAUUUUAAGUCCAACCACCCAUAGCCAGGUAGCCAAAACUUAAGUCAUCCUUAUUUCCCUGAAACACUUGCUCUAGACAUAAACAAAACACAAAAUGUCCUUGACAGUGUGAGUCAAUGAAAUUAAACCAAUCAGCUAUAGACAAAUCAGCUUAACAGCUCUACUCGCCUUAAAAAGAAUGUAACGAAGGUCAAAAUACUUCUUCCUCAAUGUUUAUAAGCUGUACUGUAACUGCUGUGAGCUGGGCUUCUUGCCACUUUUGGUUAGAUGUCUUCCAGUUUGUAAACUGUUCUUUGUAUGCAUGCUAAACUUUUAAAAAUUUUUAAAGUUUGAUCUGAUUUUAACACAGCGCAUUCAGAUUGCUGGCAGGAUCUAUUUCCUUGCAGUUGUAGGAUUGAGGUCCCCAUUUCUUAGAUUAGACCUACCUGGAUAAUCUCCCUUUGUAACGUGUUCAUAGGAGUAAUGUAUCAUCGUAUUCACAGGUUCUACCCACGUUCAAAAAUUGACUUGCAGAGAUUUCCAAGUUGUAGUAUUUAUGAAAAGCAAGAGAAGGAGUCUUAUUCCCCUGUGGGUAGCACUGAAAUCGGGAAAGAAGCCAUUGGAAAUAUACCAAGAUAUGCAACAAUGAUUACCACUGAGUUGCAAGAUAGGGCAAUGUUUAUUUUCUUUAUAUUUUAUCUGGAUUUUC
rnacentral:lncRNA from 1 species